GGACAGUAUGGGAGUGAGAAUGUUGGCAUGAGUAGCGAGAUGUGGGUGGGAAUCCCACAGGCCGUAAACCCAAGGUUUCCAGGGGAAGGUUCGUCCACCCUGGGUUAGUCGGGACCUAAGCUGAGGCCGAAAGGCGUAGGUGAUGGACAACAGGUUGAUAUUCCUGUACUACCGAUAACCGUUUGAGAGAAGGGAUGACACAGUAGGAUAAGCUAAGCACACUG
rnacentral:rRNA from 1 species